UGCGUAACGCGUGGGAAUCUGCCCUUGGGUUCGGAAUAACAGUUAGAAAUGACUGCUAAUACCGAAUGAUGUCGCAAGACCAAAGAUUUAUCGCCCAGGGAUGAGCCCGCGUAGGAUUAGCUAGUUGGUGUGGUAAAAGCGCACCAAGGCGACGAUCCUUAGCUGGUCUGAGAGGAUGAUCAGCCACACUGGGACUGAGACACGGCCCAG
rnacentral:rRNA from 1 species